rnacentral:hammerhead_ribozyme from 1 species
AUUCAGCUGACGAGUCCCAAAUAGGACGAAACACGCGUCGCGAAU